rnacentral:sRNA from 1 species
GGUGUCGGCCUGUGGCAGUGGAGGGAACACAGACGUGCUCAUGGAGGGCGUGAAGACUGAGGUGGAGGACACACUGACCCCACCCCCCUCGGAUGCUGGCUCACCUUUCCAGAGCAGCCCCUUGUCCCUUGGCAGCAGGGGCAGUGGCAGCGGUGGCAGUGGCAGUGACUCGGAGCCUGACAGCCCAGCCUUUGAGGACAGCAAGGCAAAGCCAGAGCAGCGGCCGUCUUCGCACAGCCGGGGCAUGCUGGACCGCUCCCGCCUGGCCCUGUGCACGCUCGUCUUCCUCUGCCUGUCCUGCAACCCCUUGGCCUCCUUGCUGGGGGCCCGGGGACUUCCCAGCCCCUCAGAUACCACCAGCGUCUACCAUAGCCCUGGGCGUAACGUGCUGGGCACCGAGAGCAGAGGUGGGACUGGCCAGCCUGGGCAUCUUUGGGAGGGACGCUCGGGGGGAGCCCCCAGACUUGUGAACUUGGGGCUCUGGAUUUCCUGGGAGCUGUGUCCCCAGCUUUCCCUCUGUCCAUAGAUGGCCCUGGCUGG